AAUAGAUACCCGGGUAGUCCACGCCGUAAACGAUGGAUGCUAGCUAUUGGGGGGAAUCGACCCCCUCCGAAGCGAAGCUAACGCGUUAAGCAUCCCGCCUGAGUAGUACGAGCGCAAGCUUAAAACUCAAAGGAAUUGACGGGGACCCGCACAAGCGGUGGAGCGUGUGGUUUAAUUCGAUGGUAAACGAAGAACCUUACCAAGGUUUGACAUCCCGGUAGCCGUUCUCCGAAAGGAGAAUUUCAUUUAGUUGGACCGGUGACAGGUGAUGCAUGGCCGUCGUCAGCUCGUGUCGUGAGAUGUUGGGUUAAGUCCCGCAACGAGCGCAACCCUUAUGAUUUAGUUGGAUUUUUCUAAACAGACUGCCCUGGUAACAGGGAGGAAGGAGGGGAUGAUGUCAGGUCAGUAUUUCCCUUACACCUUGGGGCGACACACGCGCUACAAUGGCCGGUACAAUGGGCAGCUAAGCCGCGAGGCGGAGCAAAUCCCAUCAAAGCCGGUCCCAGUUCGGAUUGCAGGCUGAAACCCGCCUGCAUGAAGCCGGAAUCGCUAGUAACC
rnacentral:rRNA from 1 species